GGUCUGAAAGCCUGUAAUUUGAUAGGAGUGAGGAAUGGCUGUGCUUUUACACAUCAUCAGAUACAAUGGCUGAUACAACAGCAGCUGGUGCUGAUGGUAGAGAUUGAAAUGCUUUAAAUCAUCCUUUCUCUUCUAGCAAACAUAUAGUUAAGCUGAAGGCCUUGAUGUCUGUGUCUCUUCUCAUCCUCCACCUCCCUUCUUUGCAAGCUCAGCAAGUUUUCUCCUUAAACUCAGGCUGUAAGAUUUUGUGUUCUGGAUAUUAAUGAUUAUUCAAUCAGUAACCAUUAAGCUGCAGUUCAUUGUUAGGUAGUUAGAUUGGCCUUUUAAUUAUUUCUUCAUAUGCUAUACCCCAAGCUGUUACUGGUCCCUGCAAUAGAAGCUUCCACUGCCUUUCUGGCCACAGGUACAGGAAAUAUUCACAACUUUGUCUCAACCGCUCUGAACUCGAGGGACCACGAUGGGCAUUCUGAAGAAGUCACUUAAAAUAAUAAUGGAGCCUAUGCAAGCUUCUUUGCAGAGCUGGAGAGUGGAGAUGGUCUCAUAUGAGCUAUUUCUUCAAUGUCACAGCUAGCAUUGCAUGGUAGAACCACCAUUAAGAUAAUCAUAUCUUCCCCAUCCAGUUUUUGAGAUGAAACCAUGAGAAUGCAUAUUGCAGCUGACCUGCUGCUGUUACCAAGCUAGCCAGAAUUGAAAAUCACCAGUUUAAAAAUGACUGGCUCAGUCCAGCACCGUAAGCGUUGGCAGCUCAUUACCUACAUCAUGAUGGUGCACCAAUGAUUAUAUAUUUCAGACAUUCCAAAUUCAGAAUUCUGUAUACAUUCAGAACAUUGACACAGCAGUUAGUUGUGCAUUGACAUCAAUAGCCUUUUGGCAACA